AAGAGCAAUACCUCCAGCCUCUCCAGGAUAACCAGCCCAUAUAAUGCUUCCGAUUUUAUCGUUAUUCGUAGCAAAUGAGACAUCAACAGGACCACCACAUAUCAGAACCAGAACCACCGGUUUCUUGGCCGCAUUUGCAGCGCUCGUUAUGAGGUCUUGUUGCUUCCCGGGAAGAGUAAGGCUAACGCGAUCCAGGUCUUCUUUCUCUUGAGUCUGGUCUAGUCCCAUGAUCAAGACCACAUGAUCAGCGUUUCUCGCGAUUGCAACAGCUUGAUUAAUGUCAGCGUUGGAGCAAACCACGGCAUCACAUCCUUGGUGGUAAACAGCGUUUUUAACGUAACCACGUAAGGCGUCAAGAGGAGUCACAGUCUUGCAAGGCGGACCAGCAUAGUUUCCGAGAAGCGUUCUAGCGGCGUUAGCGUUUGGGCCGAUUACAGCUAACGACGAAGAACUUUUGGAGAGAGGAAGGAGUUUAAGAUUGUUCUUCAAGAGAACUAUACCGUUACGAGCAGCGUCGAGUGCUAAAGCUUCAUGAGCCGGUGAGCAAACGUCCUUAGGACUGAUGUUUCCAUAAGGCAGUUUGGUCGGAUCGCCGUUAAAGAGACCGAGACGAAUCCUAACAGAGAAAAGAUUGAGCAGAGCUCUGUCAAUAUCAGAUUCCGACACUUUCUUUUGUUGAAGAGCUGAUUUGGUGUGUUUCUGUAGGUAUGAUCCACAGUUUACGUCCAUGCCAGCUUUAAGGACGUCACCGACGGCGUCUUCAUGGGAUUUGGCGUAGCCUUGAGCUUCAUAGAUGAGUGAGACAGCGUCACAAUCUGAAGCGAUAUAUCUGAAAAACAAAAAAACAGAGACAGAUUUGUUUUAGCAAAUAAGAGUGGUGUACGUUAAAAGAAGCAGAGAGGAGCGAACCCGCGGAAACCCCAGAGGCCACGAACGGUGUGAGUCAAGAGAUUGGGGUCAGCGCAAGAGGGAAUGCCGUUGACUCGGGUGUAAGCACACAUGAUGCAAGUGGCUCGGCCUUCUUCUACGCACUUCUUGAACGGUGGUUGGUACGUCUCCGCCAUGUCAGCCAAACUCACCUUAAAAAUAAAAUAAAACUCAAUAAAUUUGAUUAUUGUAUCAUCAUUAAUUAAGUUUUAUAGAUGACAAAAAAAAAAAGUUUAAUUUACUACUAUAUUAUAUACUCGUUAAUUUUAAUUUAAGAGAUAUUUUGUGACCUUCAAUUUAUUUCUGUUUCUAAUUUCAAAGACUCGAUGUAAACCGUAGUCCACGUCAGAAUGUCAACAUGAAGAUUAGAUAUAUAAUGAUAAUUAACAUACAUAAUCGUGACAAGACAUAAAGAUAAGCACAUAUUCAUGACAAGACAUAAAGAGUGCGAUGAAAGAAAUUAACCAUUUAUAAACUAUAAAACUGGCAUUAUGUAAAAAUUCUACCUUUACCACACUUAAGAAUAAAAUUAUACAAAUAAAAAAUGGAAAAAAUGAAAACUAGUUUAUUUACCUGAGCAUUGAAAACGUAGCGAGUGACACCUUUCCAACGGUCAAGAUCGUAGGCUGUGAAAUGCUUACAACAAGCGGAGGCUUGGAGAUGAGCGCCGGAGAGAACUUUACGACCGUCGAAAGAGUCACCUUGCAGUCCUCUGACGUAAGCCACGGCGUAAGAUCCGGUCAUCGUAGGAUCCUCGCCGGGAGUCUCUUGGCCUCUUCCCCACCGUGGAUCUCUGAAAAUGUUAAUGUUUGGUGCCCAAAAUGUCAUCCCAUUGGCUUGCCCUGCGUUGUACAUACCUCUUGCUUCCUCUCCUAUUGCCUAAAAAUCUCAAUACAACGAAACACAUUCUCAGGAGAAAUAAUACGAGAAAAAAGAGAGAGAGAGAGAUUGAAAGAGAGAAACGAACUUGACCAAUGCGGAACCAUUCAUAUGAGUCGAAUGAAGCAGCGGUUAAAAUGACUUGAGGGAAACUAGUGGCUGCUUUAACCGUUCCGUUAAACCAGGUUCCUGGACCGGUAUAGGCUAUGCCGUGCAAAGCCUCCGACCACCAUUCGUACGCCGGAACUCCGAGACGCGGUAUCCCGGGAGCCGUAUUCACCAGCUGCGAGAUCUUCUCGUCUACGGUUAGCCUCGAGACAAGAUCAUGCGCACGAUUACUGAUUUGGAGGUCAGUGCGGCAGAACUGGUAGAGUUUCGUUGCUGGGUUUGAAGGGUCACAAGCAUGCGGCGGAGGAGCUGAGUCGACGACUUGGAAGAUGAACAACAGGGGCAGAAGAAUGACCAGUUGAGACAUGGCUUCGCAAUGCGGAAAGAGAGAUGAGAAACUGAUGAGUGUGACAAGAGUCUUCUUAUGAUAACCCGUUUACCUUAAUUUGCCAUUUGUAUAGCAAAUGAUUUUUUAUUCAACAUAUAAAUAAUUACAAUUAAUAAUUGACCCAAAAUUUUCCUAUGUUGACUAAUUUUAAGAGUGGAAAUGGCUGCAUUAACAUGAAUAAAUUGAAAAAUAUGAGUUGAACAAAAAAUAUUGAAUAACAUUCAAUUCAUUCCUCCCUCACAUAGAAGAUCAAUGAGUUGAACAAAUAAGAUUGAAUAACAUUCAUUUAAUUCCUCCCUCACAUAGAAGAUCAAUUAGCUGAACAAUUUUUCUUUAUAAUUGGUCAAUCUUUUCAAUUUAAUCAUAUGAUAAUAAAAUAUAACAUCAACAUUAUAAUAAUUCUCACGGAUUAAAUUUAAAAUUAUUAUAUCAAACUUUUACAUAUUCAAAUAAAACUUAAAAUAUAUAUGUUAUAAACGAAUUUUAGUUUUUAAAUAAUAAUUUUAUCGUCGAUAUAUUUGUAAAUAAAAAUUACAGUUAUUUAAUAUAUUAUAACAUUUUUACAUCUGUAUUUGAAAAUUUUCUAGAAAUUUGAGUUUAUUUAAAACUAAAUGUCACUUGUAUUUAUUGUUUAUUUAAAAAUUUUAAAACCAAUAAUAAUCACAUUUAACAAAUUUUCCUAAAAUUUCUCCCUCGGAAAUUCAAAAUAUUAUUUUCUUAUUUUUUCAGUUUCAUUCUCUCAAAUAUUUUUCCAAUAUCUUUAUAUAAUCGUAUCUUUUUAAAAAACAAUUAUUACAUAAUUAUAUGUAUAAUAAAAAUACAACUUUUUCCACAUUGUUUUGAUAAUGAUUCACAGUUUUUAUGAAUAAGAUUAUUUUGCAAGCCUCCAAAUUUAAAUAUUUUAUUCAGUUUAAUCCAAUUUCAUUGCAUGUUAUUUCAGAUUAAAAAAAAAAAAAAAAAGCCAAUUCAAAGUGACUUUUUAUAUGUUUAAGAAGAUACAUAUACAGAAUCAGACAUAAAGAGUAAAAGGAAGCUCUGAAUCUCCAACGGUUAGGAAAUACUUUCCUUCUUCAACGACCAUAACUCCAACUUCAUUAGCUCUACUCAAAUGUUCACAAAGACCGAUCUCAAACUCUAUCUCCGUUUUCUCUCCAUUACUUAGCACAAUGCUCUUAAACCCGACCAGCUGUUUCUCUGCGCGUUUCCCGUCUUCUCCUCCUCUCUCGUGCCGUGCAAACAUCAGCACCGGAUGUUUUCCUGCCAUCUCCCCUUGAUUCUCCACCGUAACAGUGACCUUAGUCUUAGCUACAUUGCAAGCUUCUUUCUCCAUUUCUGAAACCAGAGCGUAUCUAACAGAAUCCGAGUUGAGAAGAGCUUUAGAUUGGUUUAAGUAGAGUUUGGUUUCAGGCAGAUUCUUGAACCGGUAAGAGUAUUUUGAAUAGCUUAGACCAUGUCCAAACUCAAACACUUUGGGGCCUUUGUAGAAUUUGUAAGUCCUUCCUGGAUAUCCAGUUGCAGAGCGCAUUCUCAUGUCUGUCAUCUUUACAUUCACAAAGCUCUGAGGAUACCAAGUCACAGGUAAUCUCCCUCCUAAACACCACAAGAGUGUAUAAUAGAUAUCAAAACAGAGAAACUCUUUCACUACUAUUUGUUGAAGAAGAAGAAGAAGAAGAAGAAGAAAGACUCACCGGGAUUGUGAUCUCCAAAAAUGAUUUCAGCAAGAGCAAUACCUCCAGCCUCUCCAGGAUAACCAGCCCAUAUAAUGCUUCCGAUUUUAUCGUUAUUCGUAGCAAAUGAGACAUCAACAGGACCACCACAUAUCAGAACCAGAACCACCGGUUUCUUGGCCGCAUUUGCAGCGCUCGUUAUGAGGUCUUGUUGCUUCCCGGGAAGAGUAAGGCUAACGCGAUCCAGGUCUUCUUUCUCUUGAGUCUGGUCUAGUCCCAUGAUCAAGACCACAUGAUCAGCGUUUCUCGCGAUUGCAACAGCUUGAUUAAUGUCAGCGUUGGAGCAAACCACGGCAUCACAUCCUUGGUGGUAAACAGCGUUUUUAACGUAACCACGUAAGGCGUCAAGAGGAGUCACAGUCUUGCAAGGCGGACCAGCAUAGUUUCCGAGAAGCGUUCUAGCGGCGUUAGCGUUUGGGCCGAUUACAGCUAACGACGAAGAACUUUUGGAGAGAGGAAGGAGUUUAAGAUUGUUCUUCAAGAGAACUAUACCGUUACGAGCAGCGUCGAGUGCUAAAGCUUCAUGAGCCGGUGAGCAAACGUCCUUAGGACUGAUGUUUCCAUAAGGCAGUUUGGUCGGAUCGCCGUUAAAGAGACCGAGACGAAUCCUAACAGAGAAAAGAUUGAGCAGAGCUCUGUCAAUAUCAGAUUCCGACACUUUCUUUUGUUGAAGAGCUGAUUUAGUGUGUUUCUGUAAGUAUGAUCCACAGUUUACGUCCAUGCCAGCUUUGAGGACGCCAGCGACGGCGUCUUCAGGGGAUUUGGCGUAGCCUUGAGCAUCAUAGAUGAUUGAGACAGCGUCACAAUCUGAAGUGAUAUAUCUGAAAAGAAAACACAGAGACGGUUUUGUUUUAGCAAAUAAAAAUGGUGUUAAAAGAAGCAAGUAUAAGCAAGCAGAGAGG
rnacentral:lncRNA from 1 species